rnacentral:lncRNA from 1 species
AAACAAUAUUUAUAGAGUUAUACGUGAAUAAUUUUUAUAGCGUAAAAGCUAAAUAAAUUUAUACAUACUGAAAUACAGUAAGCCAAAAUAUUUAAUUUAAUUUACAAUAACAAGAGGGCCCCCGAAUAAACAAAAGUAAAGAGGACUGUGAACCUACGGUUUGNNNNNNNNNNNNCGUGAAUAUUUUUAUAGCGUAAAAGCUAAAAAAAUUUAUACAUACUGAAAUACAGUAAGCCAAAAUAUUUAAUUAAUUUACAAUAACAAGAGGGCCCCCGAAUAAACAAAAGUAAAGAGGACUGUGAACCUACGGUUUGGAAAAUGUAGAUCCAAUGGUAGUCCUCGAUGAGAUCAGCUAUCUACAGUCUAUACUGAACCUGAAAUGGGUGAAAAGAAGGGUGGUGAGAUUAUAAAAUCCCAAUGAGUAAACAGACAUCAUCAUAAAUAUCUAAAGUUGAGUAAAAUGGAGGCAAGUUUAAACAACAAAUUUCAACUCAUUUCAUAAUGUUUUCAAUUUCUUUCUUAAACCAUAAAAUAUUUGUAAUUUACUAAAACAGUUGUUAAGGCUUAUGUCUUUUAUUAAAACAAGGCUCAAGCCAAAACUAAUCCUCGAGGAUACCUUGGCCGAGGCAUCUAACUAAGUCCGCCAAGGGUGUUAAAAUAUUCACACGUGAAACACAUUUUUAUUUUUAAAACAAGCCGUUCCUUGGCGUUGGCCGAGUUACACAUUCACGUGGGGGUUCAACGUGAAGUGAGCUCUAAUACUACCCCAGGAGUUACCCUCCUCGCCUCUACAACCGGAGUAACUAUAUAACUGGGUUUACCGUGCCCUUCUAAUAGGCAGUCCACGAAAACCCGUCACUGUAGUGACUAACCCACCAAUUUUAAUAAAAUUUCGACAAUAUAAUGUGGCUUUUAUUUAUUUAUCCAACCUGUAUAGUAAAAACAGCUUACAUAAAUUUCCUAAUGCACUCACAAAAUAUAGUCACAUAUACUCAUUUCUCAUAAGCCAUUCAUAGGAAAAUAUAUAUUUUUCAAGUCAAUUUGUAGCCUCCAAUUACUCAAUUUCAUAAUCAAUACAAUAUAUUUUUAUUUGUCACAUUUAUUCCUAAAACAUCAAAAAUCCCGUUUUAAUCUUGUUUUCAUUUCAUAAAAUACAUAAAGGGCAUUUAAAAAUAAACUCUAGAUAAUUUACAAUAAUAAUAAGUUUAGUCACCGUUUGUACAAACUAAAAGCUUUCUAAGUGCCCCGAUAACUA